rnacentral:rRNA from 1 species
AACGCUAGCGGCAGGCUUAACACAUGCAAGUCGAGGGGGUAGAAGGAGCUUGCUCCUUUGAGACCGGCGCACGGGUGCGUAACGCGUAUGCAAUCUACCUUUUUGCAGAGGGAUAGCCCAGAGAAAUUUGGAUUAAUACCUCAUAGUAUGUGAGGAUGGCAUCAUUUUCACAUUAAAGUCACAACGGCAAAAGAUGAGCAUGCGUCCCAUUAGCUAGUUGGUAAGGUAACGGCUUACCAAGGCUACGAUGGGUAGGGGUCCUGAGAGGGAGAUCCCCCACACUGGUACUGAGACACGGACCAGACUCCUACGGGAGGCAGCAGUGAGGAAUAUUGGACAAUGGGCGCAAGCCUGAUCCAGCCAUGCCGCGUGCAGGAUGACGGUCCUAUGGAUUGUAAACUGCUUUUGUACAGGAAGAAACACUACUUCGUGAAGUAGCUUGACGGUACUGUAAGAAUAAGCACCGGCUAACUACGUG